CAUGUUUCCUGUGUUGUUCCAGGUUAUGGCAUCACUGAGGCUUCCCCGAUUGUGCUGUCCAGAUAAGGAUGCCGGCACUGAGCUGUUGAUGGAUUCUACCCUCUAUCAUGCUUUAUGUGGCUGCAGCGCUCUCCUGGGACUAUUAAGUUUGACCAUCUGCUGCCGUUGCAGAAAUAAAAGAAAGAGACGAACUGUGAGGAUGGGUGGGAGAGUUCUCUUGGCCAGUGCUUUGGUCACUGCAGGUAUACUCUUACAUUCAGUCUUGUCACUCAGCGUUCCUGAUUUCCUGUCCAGUCAGAGAUAUGGGCUGUCUCACAUACUCUGUGUUGUCAUCUCAACCUGGAUUCAUUAUUUUUGUUGCGUGCUAUUUUGGGCAUUUUUCUGCUACUCCCUGGAGAUCGAUCAGCUGCUAAGACCAAACCCAUCGGAGAGGUAAUUCGGUCUGGUGUCUGAGGUAUUAGGUUGCAAAAACCAGUCAAAGCAUUGUGCAGAUAUUUUUGUCUUCACCUAAAGGACAGUAUAUCUUGUUUCAUAGUAUCUGAUAUGACAAUAG